AGGGUCCAGCAGGGUUCAGAGAGAUGUGGGAAACCUUUAAUCUUCAUGUGUUAAAAUAUUCUCCUUCAGCACGUUGUUGGCAAAGCAGGGAAUGUGACACUUGCAGGGGAUUCAGGAGGAAUCCUAAGGACUCUCUUUGUCAUGGUAAUGCAGUUAGGUGUAGAGGGUUAUGCAGGGCAGGAGACAGUCUUCAGACUGUUUUAUUCUUGCCAGCACAGUUAAGAAGCCAGGUUUGAAAGGUGGGACAUGAAGUGCCACAUUCAGCCUCUGGCUAAUGGAGACUGGAGGAUUUGUCCAGGUGAGGACACCAAAGCACGAUUACCUGCAGAGCAAACUGGCAUUGUAGCCACAGCCUCCUUCCUAACCAAGGACCCCUCACUGCAGAGGUCUUCAAAUAACAACCAAUGAGCUGCAGCAGAGCAGGACAAGCUAUUAAAACCAGUUAGCAGGAUGGAAAAUCAGCACGUAUGGGAAAGUUGGUGAUCCGAAAUGAACUUGUCAAGUGAAAGGCAGGCAAGAUGUGUGGCUUUAGAGUAUUCUGAAACCGCAGUCAGGACUGGUGAUGACAGUUUGAGCCCCUUUCCUUCAGCCUCAUUUCUCUCUUUCUUUCUGAGUUACUACAGUGUAUGCCUACCUUAAGUACCUGACAGGACAAUGCUGAACAUUUUCAUAAACAUGAGCAAGUGAUCUGACAGAGAUAAGUCUCGGCUCAGUUCUGGAAGACAGUUCAUAUAUCAAGGAAUUAAAAUGACUUGGCGCUGAAUGAAAAGGAAGAUUUCCCUUCUGGUGGAUAUUCCAAAACUUCAACAUACGUGUUUUCUCACAGAUGGUGACUUGAUUGCGAUAAAAAGCCUAGCGUAGAAAAUAUUCAUAACGAAAAUA